GCGAUGCUACAGUGUCCAUAGCUUGGGCUAGAGACCUUGGAAUCUAGCCUGACCACAGUGGGUAUGUCCAGGGCUAGGCACAGCCCUACUUCGAUGCCCUCCUACAGAACUCCCAGAGCCCAGGGGCUAGAGUUUAGAUGGGAGAAGACCAUGACCUAGUUAACGCUGUUGAGAGACAGAGCCCGAGUCUAGGGGAUCCCCAUUCUCUCCCUUCCAAGCUGCAAGGGGCUUACUGGGAAGGCGGAGAUGAAGAGGAAUGACUCGCUGGGUGUCUUCACCCCUCGGAGGGCCGGAGAGACACUGCACAGUGCUCUGGUUCUGCCCAAGAGAGAAGGCAGUGUGUAGGUUCCGGGCAGGAAGUGAACACGCUGACCCCUUCCAGACCCCUGGAACGAGGCUGGAGGAAGCAGAAGGAAGGCGGCACGCUAGCCCCGCAGCCCAAGGUGCGGCUUCGCCAGGAGGUGGUCAGUGCGGCUGGCCCCAGGAGGGGUCAGCGUAUCGCUGUGCCAGUGCGCAAGCUCUUCGCCCGGGAAAAACGGCCGUAUGGUCUGGGGAUGGUGGGACGGCUCACCAACCGCACGUAC
rnacentral:lncRNA from 1 species